AGUGAACGCUGGCGGUAGGCCUAACACAUGCAAGUCGAACGGCAGCACAGUAAGAGCUUGCUCUUACGGGUGGCGAGUGGCGGACGGGUGAGGAAUACAUCGGAAUCUACUUUUUCGUGGGGGAUAACGUAGGGAAACUUACGCUAAUACCGCAUACGACCUAUGGGUGAAAGCAGGGGAUCUUCGGACCUUGCGCGAUUGAAUGAGCCGAUGUCGGAUUAGCUAGUUGGCGGGGUAAAGGCCCACCAAGGCGACGAUCCGUAGCUGGUCUGAGAGGAUGAUCAGCCACACUGGAACUGAGACACGGUCCAGACUCCUACGGGAGGCAGCAGUGGGGAAUAUUGGACAAUGGGCGCAAGCCUGAUCCAGCCAUACCGCGUGGGUGAAGAAGGCCUUCGGGUUGUAAAGCCCUUUUGUUGGGAAAGAAAAGCAGCAGGUUAAUACCCCGCUGUUCUGACGGUACCCAAAGAAUAAGCACCGGCUAACUUCGU
rnacentral:rRNA from 1 species